rnacentral:rRNA from 1 species
GGAAAAGAAAAUAACAAUGAUUUCCCUAGUAACGGCGAGUGAAGAGGAAAGAGCUCAAAGUUGGAAACUGUUUGGCUUAGCUAAACCGUAUUGUAAACUGUAGAAACAUUUUCCUGGCACACCAGAUUAAUAAGUCCUUUGGAACAAGGCAUCAUGGAGGGUGAGAAUCCCGUCUUUGAUCUGAGUAGUUGUCUUUUGUGAUAUGUUUUCAAAGAGUCAGGUUGUUUGGGAAUGCAGCCUAAAUUGGGUGGUAAAUCUCACCUAAAGCUAAAUAUUUGCGAGAGACCGAUAGCGAACAAGUACCGUGAGGGAAAGAUGAAAAGAACUUUGAAAAGAGAGUUAAACAGUAUGUGAAAUUGUUAAAAGGGAACCGUUUGGAGCCAGACUGGUUUGACUGUAAUCAACCUAGAAUUCGUUUUGGGUGCACUUGCAGUCUAUACCUGCCAACAACAGUUUGAUUUGGAGGACAAAAUUAAUAGGAAUGUAGCCUCUCGAGGUGUUAUAGACUAUUAUCAUACUCUGGAUUGGACUGAGGAACGCAGCGAAUGCCUUUAGGCAAGAUUGCUGGGUGCUUUCGCUAAUAAAUGUUAGAAUUUCUGCUUCGGGUGGUGCUAAUGUUUAAAGGAGGAACACAUCUAGUAUAUUUUUUAUUCGCUUAGGUUGUUGGCUUAAUGACUCUAAAUGAC